rnacentral:rRNA from 1 species
GAUGAACGCUGGCGGCGUGCCUAAUACAUGCAAGUCGAGCGAAUGGAUUAAGAGCUUGCUCUUAUGAAGUUAGCGGCGGACGGGUGAGUAACACGUGGGUAACCUGCCCAUAAGACUGGGAUAACUCCGGGAAACCGGGGCUAAUACCGGAUAAUAUUUUGAACUGCAUGGUUCAAAAGUGAAAGGCGGCUUCGGCUGUCACUUAUGGAUGGACCCGCGUCGCAUUAGCUAGUUGGUGAGGUAACGGCUCAACAAGGCAACGAUGCGUAGCCGGCCUGAGGGGGUGAUCGGCCACACUGGGACUGAGACACGGCCCAGACUCCUACGGGAGGCAGCAGUAGGGAAUCUUCCGCAAUGGACGAAAGUCUGACGGAGCAACGCCGCGUGAGUGAUGAAGGCUUUCGGGUCGUAAAACUCUGUUGUUAGGGAAGAACAAGUGCUAGUUGAAUAAGCUGGCACCUUGACGGUACCUAACCAGAAAGCCACGGCUAACUACGUGCCAGCCGCCGCCGUAA